rnacentral:tRNA from 1 species
GCUCUGAGGGAUAGCUCAGUUGGUAGAGCACAAGACUUUUAAUCUCAAGGUCAUGGGUUUGAGCCUCACAUUGGGCA